GGGGGGUACUCCUCUGUGCUCCUCUGAGCAAAGCCUCGCUGGAGCGCUUGCCUGCUUGUCUACAUGAGGGAGUGCACUGAGGAAGUGAGUGAAUGAAUGCAUGAAUGAAUGAAUGAAUGAAGGGCUCCAGAAAGAAGAUGGGUCCUCACACCAGUGCCCCAUAGGUUUGAGUUUCAGAUUAGACUGGUGGUAUCUGGUCUCCUGGGAUUUGGGAAGCCCCAUCCUCCGGAAUCAGUGCUGCCUCAUGACUCGGUUUUGACCAAGAGCUUGCAGCAGAAGCAAUGCUGCGGGACUUCUGAUGCAAGCCGAGGGAGCCUUGCAGUUGUGGACUGGGUCUCUGAGAAACCCCCGCUCUAAGGAAAACCAUGUAAGAAGUCUGGCUACCCUGAGACCAUCAUGCUCUGAGGACUCCGAAGCCAGUCACGUGGAAAGUGUCUCCUUGCCAGGCUCCAGUUAUUUCAGCCGUCCCAGUUGAAGCACCAAGCAUGUUUCCAACACCCAGGACUCCUGAAUGUUGCUGGAACCACAUACUCGGCCGGGGGACACUGUGAGGAACGCAGGACACCAAAGGCAUCGCUCCUCCCUGGUCUCUCGUGGAAACAGUCCGCGGAGGCAGUCACUCAUUCUGGGGAUAAUGCAGUCUUUGUCUCCAUCUCCCCAAGUGGGAGACAAGUCCAAGCACGCCUGUGACCCACAGCCAGCCCUGUGCUUCUUCUUGUGUGCUUGGUACUGGUUUCUGCAGCUUUCAUCAGCAACACAAACCGCCCCCUUCCCGCUCACCUCCCAGGGCCCUGGGCAGGCUCCGGGUGGAGGGGGCCGGGCACGCAGGGGCUGGGUGAUGGGAAACACGUGGCCUGGGGGGCAGCCGAGCGCCCCACUCUGCUCAGGCAGGCCCUCUCUUCUGGGUGGCCGGAGCCCAGAGACCCCGGCGGCAGGAGCCUGACAGGCUUCCCUCUAGGUGAGGCCCCACUGCCCAUUGCCCUCGCUGCAGGUACUGCAAACUCUGCCUGUCUGUGUACAGGGGUGAGGGCUGAGGGGGCCCCGGGGGAGGCAGCUGAGCUGGAAGAGCCGGGUGGGGCAGCUCAGGGGCUGGGAACAUCUGCAGUGGGGGACAGGAGGCUGAGUAGUGACAGAGCUACAGGCCUGAGAACUGGAAAGCUGAGCAGAAAUGAUUAAGCAUUAAGUGAUGUAGGAAAAACAAACAAAACCCACCCAUGCUCAAAACAGUUAAGGCACAGGGGCUCGGAACCAGUUUGUCUUUCUUUUUGAACAGCUGGAGACACCUGACACAUGUCCUGUUCCCUAUUCUCUGUGCCACAGGGCUGAGGAGAGACCAACCUCUGCAGGAGACCGAUCAGAACACUGAACUCAGUCUGCCACUUACAGGCCGUGCGGCCUUGGGCAGUUUGGUGGGGGUCUCUGAGCCUCAGUUUGCUUGUUUGCAAAACGGAGACAACAGGCAUACUUACCCCCCAGCAUGGUUGUAGGAGUAAGUCAUGGCAUGGCUUAUCAUAGGCCUGGCACAUAGUAGACAUCGAAUCAAUAGUCACAAUUAUUAUCCCUGAUUAAACAUCAUUCACCCACACCCUAAGAAACCUACCCUAAGAAACCAACUUCCCAUUUACAGGCCAAGCCCUCUUUCUGAAUAACCUCACCUUGCCCAUAGCCUCUGUCUGUGUGUGUAGAAGAGACCAGAAGAAACAAGGAAAAAAUGUCCUUUCAGCAGUGACCACAUUUCCCCUAUUCUAUAAUAUGUAUUGUUGUGCAUGCAUAUAUGUAUAUGUAUGUACAUACACAUGUACGCACUCACAGCCCCUGGGGCAGCUUCCUCCUUUUAAAAGUGAGGAUGCAGGAACUUUGAAUAGGAAGUGAGAUACGGUAGGUUAGAUAGGGUGGAGUGAAAUAGUGACACAUCCCAGAGUAAUUUGGGCAGAUAAUAAAAAAUAUAUUUACAGCCUCCCCCUCCCC